UACGAAGGGUGCAAGCGUUGUUCGGAAUCAUUGGGCGUAAAGCGCGCGCAGGCGGAUCAGUAAGUCAGGUGUGAAAUCUCGAGGCUCAACCUCGAAACUGCGCCUGAAACUACUAGUCUAGAAUGUCGGAGGGGGCAGGGGAAUUUCACGUGUAGGGGUAAAAUCCGUAGAGAUGUGAAGGAACACCGGGGGCGAAGGCGCCUGCCUGGACGACUAUUGACGCUGAGGCGCGAAAGCGUGGGGAGCAAACAGG
rnacentral:rRNA from 1 species